rnacentral:rRNA from 1 species
UAGUUGGUGGAGUGAUUUGUCUGGUUAAUUCCGUUAACGAACGAGACCUCGACCUGCUAAAUAGUUUGCGUCAUCUUUUGAUGGCGUAUUAACUUCUUAGAGGGACUAUCGGUGUGUAGCCGAUGGAAGUUCGAGGCAAUAACAGG